GGGAAGAUGGCUCAAUGGUAGAGUGCUUGCCUUGCAUGCAUGAGGCUCUGGGUUUGAUUCCUCAGUACCA
rnacentral:tRNA from 1 species